rnacentral:rRNA from 1 species
AGAGUUUGAUCAUGGCUCAGAUUGAACGCUGGCGGCAGGCCUAAUACAUGCAAGUCGAACGGUAACAUAAGAAAAGCUUGCUUUUCUUGAUGACGAGUGGCGGACGGGUGAGUAAUAUUUGGGAAACUACCUGAUAGAGGGGGACAACAGUUGGAAACGACUGCUAAUACCGCAUACAGCCUCAGGGUGAAAGAAGCGAUUCGCUAUCAGAUGUGCCCAAACGGGAUUAGCUAGUAGGUGAGGUAAAGGCUCACCUAGGCGACGAUCUCUAGCUGGUCUGAGAGGAUGAUCAGCCACAUUGGGACUGAGACACGGCCCAGACUCCUACGGGAGGCAGCAGUAGGGAAUAUUGCACAAUGGAGGAAACUCUGAUGCAGCCAUGCCGCGUGUGUGAAGAAGGCCUUCGGGUUGUAAAGCACUUUCGGAGGGGAGGAAGAAAAUGACGUUACCCUCAGAAGAAGCACCGGCUAACUCCGUGCCAGCAGCCGCGGUAAUACGGAGGGUGCAAGCGUUAAUCGGAAUAACUGGGCGUAAAGGGCAUGCAGGCGGUUCAUCAAGUAGGAUGUGAAAUCCCCGGGCUCAACCUGGGAACAGCAUACUAAACUGGUGGACUAGAGUAUUGCAGGGGGAGACGGAAUUCCAGGUGUAGCGGUGGAAUGCGUAGAUAUCUGGAAGAACACCAAAGGCGAAGGCAGUCUCCUGGGCAAAUACUGACGCUCAUAUGCGAAAGCGUGGGUAGCAAACAGGAUUAGAUACCCUGGUAGUCCACGCCGUAAACGAUGUCAAUUAGGAGCUUGGGCAAAAGUCUGGGUUCCGCAGCUAACGCAAUAAAUUGACCGCCUGGGGAGUACGGCCGCAAGGUUAAAACUCAAAUGAAUUGACGGGGGCCCGCACAAGCGGUGGAGCAUGUGGUUUAAUUCGAUGCAACGCGAAGAACCUUACCUGGUCUUGACAUGGCAGUAAUCCUGUAGAGAUACGGGAGUGCCGCAAGGAAACUGCACACAGGUGCUGCAUGGCUGUCGUCAGCUCGUGUCGUGAGAUGUUGGGUUAAGUCCCGCAACGAGCGCAACCCUUAUGACUUGUUGGCAUCAUUAAGUUGGCAACUCAAGUCAGACUGCUGGUGAUAAACCGGAGGAAGAUGGGGUUGACGUCAAGUCAUCAUGGCCCUUACGACCAGGGCAACACACGUGCUACAAUGGGAUAUACAGAGGGAAGCGAGCAGGUGACUGUAAGCGAAUCUCAGAAAGUAUUUCGUAGUCCGGAUUGAAGUCUGCAACUCGACUUCAUGAAGUUGGAAUCGCUAGUAAUCGCAAAUCAGAAUGUUGCGGUGAAUACGUUCCCGGGCCUUGUACACACCGCCCGUCACACCAUGGGAGUGGAUUGCACCAGAAGUAGCCAGCUUAACGAAAGAGGGCGGUUACCACGGUGUGGUUUAUGACUGGGGUGAAGUCGUAACAAGGUAACCGUAGGGGAACCUGCGGUUGGAUCACCUCCUU